ACAGCCACAUCACGUUGAAAUAUUGGUUCCCGUACGAUCACUGUAGUUAAGCAACGUCUAGCCUGGUCAGUACCUAGAAGGGUAACCUUGGGAAUGCCAGGUGAUGCAAG